GCCGUAUCGGUUCGAUCGGGAUACUCAUCAAAUAACAUCGAAAACCGAGAAGGCUUCUCUUGCUAAUGGCGGGCCACAUAAACCGUGAAAACGGCUAAGCUGUAAAGCCGGUGGAUUACAAAGGCGGAGAGCGCUCAAAUCAUUUCUACUCGGAGUUUCAUCACAUCAUCGAUACGGCCCCUU
rnacentral:sRNA from 1 species